UUAAGUUAUUAAGGGCGCACGGUGGAUGCCUUGGCACUAGAAGCCGAUGAAGGACGUUACUAACGACGAUAUGCUUUGGGGAGCUGUAAGUAAGCUUUGAUCCAGAGAUUUCCGAAUGGGGAAACCCAGCAUGAGUUAUGUCAUGUUAUCGAUAUGUGAAUACAUAGCAUAUCAGAAGGCACACCCGGAGAACUGAAACAUCUUAGUACCCGGAGGAAGAGAAAGAAAAUUCGAUUCCCUUAGUAGCGGCGAGCGAAACGGGAAGAGCCCAAACCAAAAAGCUUGCUUGUUGGGGUUGUAGGACACUCUAUACGGAGUUACAAAGGACGACAUUAGACGAAUCAUCUGGAAAGAUGAAUCAAAGAAGGUAAUAAUCCUGUAGUCGAAAAUGUUGUCUCUCUUGAGUGGAUCCUGAGUACGACGGAGCACGUGAAAUUCCGUCGGAAUCUGGGAGGACCAUCUCCUAAGGCUAAAUACUCUCUAGUGACCGAUAGUGAACCAGUACCGUGAGGGAAAGGUGAAAAGCACCCCGGAAGGAGAGUGAAAUAGAACCUGAAACCGUGUGCUUACAAGUAGUCAGAGCCCGUUAAUGGGUGAUGGCGUGCCUUUUGUAGAAUGAACCGGCGAGUUACGAUUUGAUGCAAGGUUAAGCAGUAAAUGUGGAGCCGUAGCGAAAGCGAGUCUGAAUAGGGCGUUUAGUAUUUGGUCGUAGACCCGAAACCAGGUGAUCUACCCUUGGUCAGGUUGAAGUUCAGGUAACACUGAAUGGAGGACCGAACCGACUUACGUUGAAAAGUGAGCUGAUGAACUGAGGGUAGCGGAGAAAUUCCAAUCGAACCUGGAGAUAGCUGGUUCUCUCCGAAAUAGCUUUAGGGCUAGCCUCAAGUGAUGAUUAUUGGAGGUAGAGCACUGUUUGGACGAGGGGCCCCUCUCGGGUUACCGAAUUCAGACAAACUCCGAAUGCCAAUUAAUUUAACUUGGGAGUCAGAACAUGGGUGAUAAGGUCCGUGUUCGAAAGGGAAACAGCCCAGACCACCAGCUAAGGUCCCAAAAUAUAUGUUAAGUGGAAAAGGAUGUGGCGUUGCCCAGACAACUAGGAUGUUGGCUUAGAAGCAGCCAUCAUUUAAAGAGUGCGUAAUAGCUCACUAGUCGAGUGACACUGCGCCGAAAAUGUACCGGGGCUAAACAUAUUACCGAAGCUGUGGAUUGUCCUUUGGACAAUGGUAGGAGAGCGUUCUAAGGGCGUUGAAGCAUGAUCGUAAGGACAUGUGGAGCGCUUAGAAGUGAGAAUGCCGGUGUGAGUAGCGAAAGACGGGUGAGAAUCCCGUCCACCGAUUGACUAAGGUUUCCAGAGGAAGGCUCGUCCGCUCUGGGUUAGUCGGGUCCUAAGCUGAGGCCGACAGGCGUAGGCGAUGGAUAACAGGUUGAUAUUCCUGUACCACCUAUAAUCGUUUUAAUCGAUGGGGGGACGCAGUAGGAUAGGCGAAGCGUGCGAUUGGAUUGCACGUCUAAGCAGUAAGGCUGAGUAUUAGGCAAAUCCGGUACUCGUUAAGGCUGAGCUGUGAUGGGGAGAAGACAUUGAGUCUUCGAGUCGUUGAUUUCACACUGCCGAGAAAAGCCUCUAGAUAGAAAAUAGGUGCCCGUACCGCAAACCGACACAGGUAGUCAAGAUGAGAAUUCUAAGGUGAGCGAGCGAACUCUCGUUAAGGAACUCGGCAAAAUGACCCCGUAACUUCGGGAGAAGGGGUGCUCUUUAGGGUUAACGCCCAGAAGAGCCGCAGUGAAUAGGCCCAAGCGACUGUUUAUCAAAAACACAGGUCUCUGCUAAACCGUAAGGUGAUGUAUAGGGGCUGACGCCUGCCCGGUGCUGGAAGGUUAAGAGGAGUGGUUAGCUUCUGCGAAGCUACGAAUCGAAGCCCCAGUAAACGGCGGCCGUAACUAUAACGGUCCUAAGGUAGCGAAAUUCCUUGUCGGGUAAGUUCCGACCCGCACGAAAGGCGUAACGAUUUGGGCACUGUCUCAACGAGAGGCUCGGUGAAAUCAUAGUACCUGUGAAGAUGCAGGUUACCCGCGACAGGACGGAAAGACCCCGUGGAGCUUUACUGUAGCCUGAUAUUGAAAUUCGGCACAGCUUGUACAGGAUAGGUAGGAGCCUUUGAAACGUGAGCGCUAGCUUACGUGGAGGCGCUGGUGGGAUACUACCCUAGCUGUGUUGGCUUUCUAACCCGCACCACUUAUCGUGGUGGGAGACAGUGUCAAGCGGGCAGUUUGACUGGGGCGGUCGCCUCCUAAAAGGUAACGGAGGCGCUCAAAGGUUCCCUCAGAAUGGUUGGAAAUCAUUCAUAGAGUGUAAAGGCAUAAGGGAGCUUGACUGCGAGACCUACAAGUCGAGCAGGGUCGAAAGACGGACUUAGUGAUCCGGUGGUUCCGCAUGGAAGGGCCAUCGCUCAACGGAUAAAAGCUACCCCGGGGAUAACAGGCUUAUCUCCCCCAAGAGUUCACAUCGACGGGGAGGUUUGGCACCUCGAUGUCGGCUCAUCGCAUCCGACAUCGAGGUGCCAAACCUCCCCGUCGAUGUGAACUCUUGGGGGAGAUAAG
rnacentral:rRNA from 1 species